rnacentral:rRNA from 1 species
CUACCAUGGCAAUCACGGGUAACGGAGAAUUAGGGUUCGAUUCCGGAGAGGGAGCCUGAGAAACGGCUACCACAUCUACGGAAGGCAGCAGGCGCGAAAAUUGCCCAAUCCUGAUUCAGGGAGGCAGUGACAAGAAAUAACAACUCUUGGUUUACCAAGAAGUGUAAUGAGGAUAAUUUACAAACCUUACCGAAAGCAAUUGGAGGGCAAGUCUGGUGCCAGCAGCCGCGGUAAUUCCAGCUCCAAUAGCGUAUAUUAAAAUUGUUGCAGUUAAAAAGCUCGUAGUUGAAGUUCUGGUUGUAUGGGCCUCAGCACUUGAUGCGACGGAACCAGCAAUCAUCUGCUUGCAAGCAUAUGUCCGGCCUUAAACAGCUGGCUAUGUAAGUAAGCAUUUUACCUUGAGAAAAACAGAGUGUUCCAGGCAGGUUUGUCCGGAAUGCAUUAGCAUGGAAUAAUAGAAUAUGACUGAAGUCUAUUUAUUGGUUUAAGGCUUUAGUAAUGAUUAAUAGGAACAAUCGGGGGCAUUAGUACUUGUCAGUCAGAGGUGAAAUUCUAGGAUUUGACAAAGACUAACAAAUGCGAAAGCAUUUGCCAAGGAUGUUUUCAUUAAUCAA